UACGGAAGGCAGCAGUGGGGAAUAUUGCACAAUGGGCGAAAGCCUGAUGCAGCUAUGCCGCGUGUAUGAAGAAGGCCUUAGGGUUGUAAAGUACUUUCAUCGGGAAGGAAAAACAAAACUAAUAAUUUUAUUUCUUGACGUUACCCGAAAAAGAAGCACCGGCUAACUCCGUGCCAGCAGCCGCGGUAAUACGGAGGGUGCUAGCGUUAAUCAGAAUUACUGGGCGUAAAGAGCACGUAGGUGGUUUUUUUAAGUCAGAUGUGAAAUCCCUGGGCUUAACCUAGGAACUGCAUUUUGAAACUGAAAUACUAGAGUAUCGUAGAGGGAGGUAGAAUUCUAGGUGUAGCGGUGAAAUGCGUAGAUAUCUGGAGGAAUACCUGUGGCGAAAGCGGCCUCCUAAACGAAUACUGACACUGAGGUGCGAAAGCGUGGGGAGCAAACAGGGAUUAGAUACC
rnacentral:rRNA from 1 species